rnacentral:rRNA from 1 species
UCGGGAAUUUUGGGCAAUGGGCGAAAGCCUGACCCAGCAACGCCGCGUGAAGGAUGAAGUAUUUCGGUAUGUAAACUUCGAAAGAAUAGGAAGAAUAAAUGACGGUACUAUUUAUAAGGUCCGGCUAACUACGUGCCAGCAGCCGCGGUAAUACGUAGGGACCAAGCGUUGUUCGGAUUUACUGGGCGUAAAGGGCGCGUAGGCGGUGUGUCAAGUCAGUUGUGAAAUCUCCGGGCUUAACUCGGAACGGUCAGAUGAUACUGCUUUGCUAGAGUGCAGAAGGGGCAAUCGGAAUUCUUGGUGUAGCGGUGAAAUGCGUAGAUAUCAAGAGGAACACCUGAGGUGAAGACGGGUUGCUGGGCUGACACUGACGCUGAGGCGCGAAAGCCAGGGGAGCAAACGGGAUUAGAUACCCACGUAGUCCCUGAGCGGGCUGGCAAGGCGCAU